UUUUAAAUAAGUAAGAGCCUUUGGUGAAUGCCUUGGGUCUGGAAGUCGAUGAAGGACGUGAUUACCUGCGAUAAGCCUCGUGGAGCUGGAUAUACGCUUUGAUACGGGGAUUUCCGAAUGGGGAAACCUAACUAGAUUAAUCUCUAGUUGCCACUUUACUGAAUACAUAGGUAUUGUGGAGAGACACCUUGUGAACUGAAACAUCUUAGUAGCAAGAGGAAAAGAAAAUAAAUAAUGAUUCCGUCAGUAGCGGCGAGCGAAAUCGGAAAAGCCCAAACCAUCAUUUUGAUGGGGUUGUAGGACAAUCUUUUAGAGUUACAAAAUUUUAAGAUAGAAGAAGUAGUUGAUAAGCUACGCCAUAGAGGGUUACAGUCCCGUAUUUGAAAUCUUAAAAUCUCUUGAUUGCAUCCUGAGUAGGGCGGGGCACGUGAAACCCUGUCUGAAUCCGCCGGGACCACCCGGUAAGGCUAAAUACUAACCAGACACCGAUAGUGAACUAGUACCGUGAGGGAAAGGUGAAAAGAACCCCGGAAGGGGAGUGAAAUAGAUUCUGAAACCAAUGGCUUACAAGUAGUCAGAGCCCGUUAAUGGGUGAUGGCGUACAUCUUGCAGUAUGGACCGGCGAGUUAAUUUAUCAUGCAAGGCUAAGUGGAAAAAAGCGGAGCCGAAGAGAAAUCGAGUCUUAAUAGGGCGACAUAGUAUGAUGGAUUAGACCCGAAACGGGGUGAUCUACACAUGAGCAGGGGGAAGCAAUGGUAAAGCAUUGUGGACGCCCGAACCAGAGUACGCUGAAAAGUGCUUGGAUGACUUGUGUGUAGCGGUGAAAUUCCAAUCGAACUCCGAGAUAGCUGGUUCUCCCCGAAAUAGCUUUAGGGCUAGCGUUGUGUGUUAAAUAUUGGGGGUAGAGCACUGAAUGUGGAAUGGCUUCAUCUCGAGGUACUGACUACAAUCAAACUCCGAAUACCAAUAUGUAUUGCACAGCAGUCGGACUAUGGGAGAUAAGUUCCAUGGUCGCGAGGGAAACAACCCAGAUCGUCAGCUAAGGUCCCAAAUUUAUACUAAGUGAGAAAGGUUGUGGGAUUUCAUAAACAGCUAGUAUGUUGGCUUAGAAGCAGCCAUCAUUUAAAGAGUGCGUAACAGCUCACUAGUCAAGAGAUCCUGCGCCGAAAAUGUAACGGGACUAAGUAUAAAACCGAAGCUACGGGUACGUAAGUACGUUAGGGGAGCGUUCUAAUCAGCGGUGAAGCUGUACCGUAAGGAGCAGUGGAGCGUUUAGAAGUGAGAAUGCCGGUAUGAGUAACGAUUCAAAGUGAGAAUCUUUGACGCCUAUUGGGGAAGGUUUCCUGGGCAAGGUUCGUCCACCCAGGGUUAGUCGGGACCUAAGGCGAGGCCGAAAGGCGUAGUCGAUGGACAACAGGUUGAUAUUCCUGUACUUCCUAAUCAGUGAUGGAGUGACGGAGAAGGAUAAUACUACCACUUAUUGGAUUGUGGGGUAAGCAUUUAGUGGGACUUGUAGGUAAAUCCGCAAGUUUUUAACCGUGAGAUGUGAUGCAUAGCGAACGCUUCGGCUUGUAGCGAAUUGUAUGAUUCCAUGCUUCCUAGAAAAGCUUCUAGCAUUAAUGUGACUGGAACCCGUACCGAGAACGGACACACGUCCCCAAGAUGAGUAUUCUAAGGCGAGCGAGAUAACUAUUGCUAAGGAACUCUGCAAAAUGACCCCGUAAGUUCGCGAGAAGGGGCGCUCUCUAUUUUAGAGAGCCGCAGGAAAUGUGAGGGGCGACUGUUUACCAAAAACAUAACUCUCUGCUAAAUCGUAAGAUGAUGUAUAGGGGGUGACGCCUGCCCAGUGCCUGAAGGUUAAGUUGAUGCGUUAGCUUUAUGCGAAGCGUUGAUAUGAAGCCCAGGUGAACGGCGGCCGUAACUAUAACGGUCCUAAGGUAGCGAAAUUCCUCGUCACUUAAUUGGUGACCUGCACGAAAGGCGUAACGAUCUCUCAGCUGUCUCAGCAAUAGACUCGGUGAAAUUAUGGUCCCGGUGAGAACGCCGGGUACCCGCAGCAAGACGAAAAGACCCCGUGGAGCUUUACUAUAGCUUCGUAUUGGGUUUUGAUUAAACAUGUGUAGGAUAGGUGGGAGACUUUGAACCUAAGACGCCAGUCUUAGGGGAGUCAUCCUUGAAAUACCACCCUUGUUUAAUUGAAAUUCUAACCAUCUCCCAUGAAUCUGGGAGUGGGACAGUGCGUGGUAGGUAGUUUGACUGGGGCGGUCGCCUCCUAAAAAGUAGCGGAGGCGCUCAAAGGUCCACUCAGCAUGGUCAGAAACCAUGUGUAGAGCGCAAUGGUAAAAGUGGGCUUGACUGUGAGACUUACAAGUCGAACAGGUACGAAAGUAGGACAUAGUGAUCCGGCGAUUCCGUGUGGAAGGGUCGUCGCUCAACGGAUAAAAGCUACCCCGGGGAUAACAGGCUUAUCUCCCCCAAGAGAUCACAUCGACGGGGAGGUUUGGCACCUCGAUGUCGGCUCAUCGCAUCCUGGAGGUGAAGUUGCUUCCAAGGGUUGGGCUGUUCGCCCAUUAAAGCGGUACGCGAGCUGGGUUCAGAACGUCGUGAGACAGUUCGGUCCCUAUCUGCUGUGGGCGUUGGAAUAUUGAUGAGAGUUGCUCCUAGUACGAGAGGACCGGAGUGAACGUACCACUGGUGCUCCAGUUGUCCUGCCAAGGGCAUAGCUGGGUAGCUAAGUACGGAAAGGAUAACCGCUGAAGGCAUCUAAGCGGGAAGCCUCCUCAGAGAUGAGUAUUCCCCUGAAAUUCCUUGUAGACUACGAGGUUGAUAGGCUGGAAGUAUAAGCAUGGCGACAUGUUAAGCUGACCAGUACUAAUAAUUGAAAGGUUUAAAACG
rnacentral:rRNA from 1 species